rnacentral:rRNA from 1 species
UACGUAGGGUGCGAGCGUUGUCCGGAUUUAUUGGGCGUAAAGGGCUCGUAGGCGGCUUGUCGCGUCGGGAGUGAAAGCCCGCUGCUUAACGGCGGGUUGGCUUCCGGUACGGGCCGGCUGGAGGCAGGCAGGGGAGAAUGGAAUUCCCGGUGUAGCGGUGAAAUGCGCAGAUAUCGGGAGGAACACCGGUGGCGAAGCGGUCUCUGGGCCUGUACGUGACGCUGAGGAGCGAAAGCGUGGGGAGCGAACAGG